GAUCCUGGCUCAGGAUGAACGCUAGCUACAGGCUUAACACAUGCAAGUCGAGGGGCAGCAUGGUCUUAGCUUGCUAAGGCCGAUGGCGACCGGCGCACGGGUGAGUAACACGUAUCCAACCUGCCGUCUACUCUUGGACAGCCUUCUGAAAGGAAGAUUAAUACAAGAUGGCAUCAUGAGUCCGCAUGUUCACAUGAUUAAAGGUAAUUCCGGUAGACGAUGGGGAGUG
rnacentral:rRNA from 1 species